rnacentral:lncRNA from 1 species
GGGGAGUUGCUUCAACCAAAAUUGAUUUUAAUCUGUAACUAAAUUAGCCUGAUAAUAUUGACUCUUUCAAAAAACAAUGGUCAAACAAAACCAAUAAAAAAUGGAUACAUGACCAGCUCUUUUUUUUUUAUUUUAUAAAAUAUAUUAAAUAAAACUAAGAUAAACUAAAUACAACAACCAAAAUAAAAUGGAAAGAAAAAAAAAAGUCUCAUUGUUCCUCAUCUCUCACGAUCUCUUUCUUUGUAAACUUAACUUCCAAAAUUUUUACUUCCAUCUUUCUUAUUCAUGUUUUAAUUAAAACUAAAUAAAUUAGAAAGAAUAAAUAAAUAAAUAAAAUACAGCAACUAUAUUAUCUAACUUAAACUUUGUUUAUGAGAUAACAAAGCUCAGAUAAAGC